CUUCAAAAUUUGGGAAUAUGUUAUCAAAGCCUUUCAUCCUGUAGAUGAUUCACCAAUAUCGAUCGAUAAUAUAAAAGUUCAAAACCCUAGCGUCGUUUGGAUUUGGCAGAUUCAAUUGCUCAUAGAUUACAUAUCAACUAUCAGUAAAGUAAUGAUUAGAAGGCACUCUAUAAGGAAAGGGCUGAUGAGAAAAUUUACGUGUGGUGAAGAGGAAGCUAAGAAGAAUAUUUACAAUGGUUCCUGUGAGAGAUACUUUGGAUUUGGAUGUGAGAUUGAUGAGGAGAUUGGAGAACCCCAAUUAUUCUGUGCUUGAAAUAGAUGCCCCUGACUCUGCAUUUCAGCCAGUUGACAAGGAAAGAGGUAAAAAUGCUAAGCAGUUCACAUGGGUUUUGCUUCUCAAAGCUCAUAGAGAUGUCGGUUGCCUUGCUUGGCUUGCAAAUUCUCUUUGCUCAUUGCUUCGUGCCGUUAAGAAAAGAUUGUUUUUUGGGCAUGUGGAGACUGAAAAAUCUGGCAAGGCAAAGUUUCUGUUUCGAGUAAUUCUCACGUUCUUGGUGAUUGCUUUGGCAUUUCUUUCAUUUGAACUGGUUGCUCACUUCAAAGGGUGGCACUACUUUCACAACCAUAAUUUGCACAUUCCACAAACUUGGGAGAUCACAUGAUGGUUUCACACGGCCUAUGUUAGGUGGUUGGAGUUCCGGGAAUAAUGCACCCACAAUUCAAUCUCUCUCAACCUUUUGUAUACUUCUCUUCAUAAUUCAGUCUGUGGAUCGAAUGCUUCUGUGUCUUGGUUGCUUGUGGAUCAAAUUCAACAAGAUUAAGCCCGUGAUUAAAGGGGUUCCUCCCAAUUCAGAUGAUAUGGAAGGAGCCAACGAUGGAUAUCCUAUGGUACUCGUUCAAAUCCCUAUGUGCAAUGAGAAAGAGGUAUAUGAACAAUCUAUUUCCGCAGUGUGCCAACUUGAUUGGCCAAAAGAUCGCUUGCUCAUUCAAGUUAUGGAUGAUUCUGAUGAUGAGGGUAUACAGUGGUUGUAAAUAUUUACAAAGAAUAUUUACAAUAAUUCCUUGGUGACUUCUUGUUCAUGCUUCAAACGAGAUUAAAGUUGGCUUAUUUGACAUUCAAGUCUCGCUAUCUCACCCUCAACCAUGCCUAGCUCUGCUAAGAGUCCUCUUUUUUAUGAAAAAAAAAUACAUAUUAAAUUUUUGAAAUGCCCACGAGCUGGCCCUAAACCAUAGGGCUUUUGGCCCAUGUGGGUCUAUGUCAUUGUGGAUUUUUUGGCCCUAACCCACACGGGCUAGGACUAAAUGGGUCGAGCUGACUCGUUU